GAGGGUAGAGCUCAGUGGUAGAGUGCAUGCUUAGCAUGCACAAAGUCCUGGGUUCAAGCCUCAGUACCUCCA
rnacentral:tRNA from 1 species